AAAUUGAAGAGUUUGAUCAUGGCUCAGAUUGAACGCUGGCGGCAGGCCUAACACAUGCAAGUCGAACGGUAACAGGAAGAAGCUUGCUUCUUUGCUGACGAGUGGCGGACGGGUGAGUAAUGUCUGGGAAACUGCCUGAUGGAGGGGGAUAACUACUGGAAACGGUAGCUAAUACCGCAUAACGUCGCAAGACCAAAGAGGGGGACCUCGGGCCUCUUGCCAUCGGAUGUGCCCAGAUGGGAUUAGCUAGUAGGUGGGGUAACGGCUCACCUAGGCGACGAUCCCUAGCUGGUCUGAGAGGAUGACCAGCCACACUGGAACUGAGACACGGUCCAGACUCCUACGGGAGGCAGCAGUGGGGAAUAUUGCACAAUGGGCGCAAGCCUGAUGCAGCCAUGCCGCGUGUAUGAAGAAGGCCUUCGGGUUGUAAAGUACUUUCAGCGGGGAGGAAGGGAGUAAAGUUAAUACCUUUGCUCAUUGACGUUACCCGCAGAAGAAGCACCGGCUAACUCCGUGCCAGCAGCCGCGGUAAUACGGAGGGUGCAAGCGUUAAUCGGAAUUACUGGGCGUAAAGCGCACGCAGGCGGUUUGUUAAGUCAGAUGUGAAAUCCCCGGGCUCAACCUGGGAACUGCAUCUGAUACUGGCAAGCUUGAGUCUCGUAGAGGGGGGUAGAAUUCCAGGUGUAGCGGUGAAAUGCGUAGAGAUCUGGAGGAAUACCGGUGGCGAAGGCGGCCCCCUGGACGAAGACUGACGCUCAGGUGCGAAAGCGUGGGGAGCAAACAGGAUUAGAUACCCUGGUAGUCCACGCCGUAAACGAUGUCGACUUGGAGGUUGUGCCCUUGAGGCGUGGCUUCCGGAGCUAACGCGUUAAGUCGACCGCCUGGGGAGUACGGCCGCAAGGUUAAAACUCAAAUGAAUUGACGGGGGCCCGCACAAGCGGUGGAGCAUGUGGUUUAAUUCGAUGCAACGCGAAGAACCUUACCUGGUCUUGACAUCCACGGAAGUUUUCAGAGAUGAGAAUGUGCCUUCGGGAACCGUGAGACAGGUGCUGCAUGGCUGUCGUCAGCUCGUGUUGUGAAAUGUUGGGUUAAGUCCCGCAACGAGCGCAACCCUUAUCCUUUGUUGCCAGCGGUCCGGCCGGGAACUCAAAGGAGACUGCCAGUGAUAAACUGGAGGAAGGUGGGGAUGACGUCAAGUCAUCAUGGCCCUUACGACCAGGGCUACACACGUGCUACAAUGGCGCAUACAAAGAGAAGCGACCUCGCGAGAGCAAGCGGACCUCAUAAAGUGCGUCGUAGUCCGGAUUGGAGUCUGCAACUCGACUCCAUGAAGUCGGAAUCGCUAGUAAUCGUGGAUCAGAAUGCCACGGUGAAUACGUUCCCGGGCCUUGUACACACCGCCCGUCACACCAUGGGAGUGGGUUGCAAAAGAAGUAGGUAGCUUAACCUUCGGGAGGGCGCUUACCACUUUGUGAUUCAUGACUGGGGUGAAGUCGUAACAAGGUAACCGUAGGGGAACCUGCGGUUGGAUCACCUCCUUA
rnacentral:rRNA from 1 species